rnacentral:lncRNA from 1 species
CGCAAACAACAGAUCGGGUUUCUAAAAGCUAUUUCAACCCCCCUCCCAGUUACUGCCACCCUCUCCCAGGUCUAGAGAGGGGUACCCACGGUGGAGGGAGGUGGGAGGCCGAGACGGCCCCGGGGGUCGGCGGAGACCCAGCGGGAGCAGGGGGAAAUCGGAAGAGCUGGGGGCAUGGAGCGGGCGAGUUUGGAGCGGAAUGAGCCGGUUAGUGGCCCGAUUUAGACCAGCAGAGCUCGCCCGGGCGCUUCAUUCAUUCGUUUUGUUUUAAGGCCCUGGCGGCGGAUCCCUUGGAAAGGGGAGGAGAUCGCUGUCUGUUUCAAAGACAUUUACACCGGCCAGGACGGAGGCCCUGGGAAGUGUGCGCUAGAGGGAACAGCCGGGCGGCCGAGGGCGGAGAGGCGGCGCGAAUGUGACCUCAGCGGCCGCCGCGCUCCCUCCCGCCCUCUCCCGCUCCGGGCUCGGGUUUCUAGGACUGCCUGGAGAAGUGUGUCUUGUGCACAGCUCUGGAAUGCAUUUGGCAGGCUGACGAGCAGCGAGGGGCAGCAUCCUGGAGGGAGGAGGGGUGCAGCUCGCCCGCGCGCCGCCGGCAGGUUUCCUCCCGGCCUGGAAGACCUCCGGCACCCGCCACUCGGCCUCCCGGCGCGCUAACCUUGCCCAGCCAGCAGACCUGCUUAGAGCAUCCAAUCGCAUGCGGGGCCUGCUUAGGGUCAGAGAGUUUAUUCCUUCACCAUAGGUUCCAGAGAAAGCUAUCCCCAGAUGCAAGUGAUUGCUAGGAAGUAGAAAAGAUCCGCCUGCCUCUGACUCCCGAGUGCUGAGAUUAAAGGUGUGCACCACCACACCCGACAAGGAAGCCUGUUUUAAGAAGUGAUUCCAUGGAGGAGUUCUGCGGCGGCUCAGGGCUUGACUAAACAGUGGACCUCAGUUGAAUAAACUGAAAGCAAAGGGCAGCCUUCUAAUUACGCUUCGUGGCUAUGUGGACAACCUGGAGAAGUCUGGAAACGACACCUUAGGGUUCCUGCUGCAGCUCCAGAACUGGGGGAGCAGGGUUGGGGGUGAGUGUGUGUGUGUGUGUGUGUGUGUGUGUGUGUGUGUGUGUUGACUCACCCUGCAGUAUUCUCUCCAUCUGCACAGGUCCCCAGUCUCUGAGACUGAAUCACCCCUCUUUCACUAUGCCUCUGCACAGCUGCCCUUGUGCUCCCUCUCCUUGCCCCGCCUCUUUUUAAGACAGUAUUAUGCAGCCCUGGCUGUCCUGGAACUUAUGUAAACCAGCCUGGCCUUGAACUUGCAGAGAUCCACCUGCCUUUGCCUCUGCCCCUGCCCCUGCCCCUGCCGAUUGAAA